AUGGCAUCACACCUAACUUGACAAUGAACUUUUUGAAUCAAAACACCUCCUUAGCAGCUUUCGAUAGGGUGAUAUAUUCUACAUCCAUGGUGAAGUCUGUAAUAAUAGGUUGUUUGGAACUCUUCCAACUUUAGCACCACCAUUGUACAAGAAAAUACUGUCUAAUGUCAAUUUUCGAUCAUCAAUGUCAGAUAUAAAGUCUGAGUUAGUAUAACCUUGUAUCCUCAGUUCUCCAUUACCA
rnacentral:lncRNA from 1 species